UUUUCAAAUAGAGCAGGUCUAGACUGAACUCUUUAUAACAUUAAUUACAGAGACCCAACAGUACCACCAUGAGCAAGACCUUGGAGACAAGGGCAAGGAAACACUCUUUUUUUUAUUUUUUUUUAACCUAGGACAGAUCCUGACUCUGGGACAGAGACACAGAAUGAGCAGUGACUAUAGUAAUAUCAGUGAUAUUAACAAUGGGAGUUAAGUAGGACCAUGGUAGGAUUCCCGACAAUGUCAAAAUCAAAUGUUAAAGGAUCAAUAAUCAGCCGAUCGAUGGUUCUCUGGAUCAGAACCGCACAGAGACAAAUCUUUACAGUCAAUAACACCAGCACUCAUUCACUGCAGUCGCACAGUUCACCUGCGGAUCCAGAACCAGGUGGAACCGGGUAGAACCGGGUGGAACCGGGUGAGACAGGAACAGACGGACCGACGAGGUGAGUUAGUUUCCGCUCCGAACUCCGUUUUAAGGAUGUCUCUGAUGUUGUUUGUGUGUGAUAGCAGUUAGCCUGAGCUAACCUGUUUCCGGGUUAUAAAGUGGAGAACAGACGUUCUUGCCUCGAACCUUGUUUCAUUCAGAAAACGAGCAUUUAAUCAUUUAUAUUGACACAGAGUGAAAACGGUUCAUUAGUUCACAUCAUGGGAAACAAAUUCCGAGCUGGAAAGUUUCUCUUAUUAAUUCGGCUCACAGAAAAUAUUCCACUAACAUUACUUCCUUCUGAAAUCAUGUGUUUUACACCUCUUCUGCUCGCUAUUCAGCUACAUAUAGAAAGUAUAUUAUAGCAAUUAUAUAAAGUAAAUAAAUUAUAUAAAUUAUAUGAAGUGUAUAUAAAUUAUAUAAAUUAUAUGAAGUGUAUAUAAAUUAUAUGAAGUGUAUAUAAAUUAUAUAAAUUAUAUGAAGUGUAUAUAAACUAUAUGAAGUGUAUAUAAAUUAUAUGAAGUGUAUAUAAACUAUAUAAAUUAUAUGAAGUGUAUAUAAAUUAUAUAAAUUAUAUAAAUUAUAUGAAGUGUAUAUAAAUUAUAUGAAGUGUAUAUAAAUUAUAUGAAGUGUAUAUAAAUUAUAUGAAGUGUAUAUAAACUAUAUAAAUUAUAUGAAGUAUAGAAAGUGCUCCCGUCUGCCCAACUGAACUUUAAAGGUUGAACUAUUCUUAGGUUGCUGGGUGAAAACGAUCCCUUAGUGAAUCCAGACUGAGUCAUAUGAUCAUAAAUAGGGUUGGAAAUCACAGAAAAUCACUUCCUUAAAAUAUGUCACAUUCCAGGCCUGGUUCCCCUAAUCCUUAGCGCCCCCUGCUGUGUGUUUGUAGUACUUUAAGGAAACAAAGAGUUCCUGUUUGGUCCAGAUGGAUGGACCCCCUGCAAUGAAGACCAUAUAAUGUCCAUUCCUGUGAAAAAAAGUCAAAUACUUGGGUUUAAAUAUAAUCAAAGAUAACAAAUUAAGGGAAAGUAAUAAUUUUCAUGAAAAACUAGAGAUUAUGAAGAAAACUCCUCUUCUUUUGGAAGAAACAUACUGUCCAAAGCCUGCCAGUCUUUAUUUGUUGCUCCUCAAAACAUUAAGAAAGCCAACUCAAAUAUACAUAAUUUUAUAUAAUAAUAAUAAUAAUAAUAAUAAUAAUAAUAAUAAUACAUUUUAUUUGUAAAGCACUUUUCAUAAAAGAAUCUCAAAGUGCUACAGAAACCAAGAAACACAAUAACAAAAAAACACUAAGGGCAAUAACACAUUAAAAUCAGCAACCAAUAAUAAUACAAGUGAUAAAAUACAUUAAGAAAAAACAAACAAAAAAAUGGUUAGGGUUAACCAUGGCUUUUGCUCUGAGAUGCAACUGAGAAAAUGUCAGGAAAGUCCUACUGAACUUUAUUUGGGAUUAAUCAGUCAUUUUAAAUGAUAGCAGGUGUGUACUGACUACUAUUUUUAACAUGAGUUUGAAUGUGAUUGGUCAAUUCUGAACACAGCCACAUCCCCAGUUAUAAGAGGGUGUGCACACUUAUGCAACCAGGUUAUUGUAAGUUUUUUUUAUUUUUUAUUUUUCCCCCUAAAAGAUUUCCAUUUGUUUUUCAAUUGAAUUGUUCACAUUAUAGGUCACAUUAAAGGUGGAAAAAGUUUGGUUUUGUCUCAUUUUUUUAAAUCACAAAAAUCUGGCAUUUUAACAGGGGUGUGUAGACUUUUUAUAUCCACUGUAAGUAAGGGAGGAUUGAAUACAUUAGACUUUGAAUCAAUGAUAGGAAUGUUCAGAAUAAAUUGGAUAAAAGCCUUUCUUUCACAAACUGAAUCCAUAUGGUUUCAUAUCCCCAAAAAUAUAUUUUAAAAAGUGGGAGGUUUGGAUUUUUUGUUAAAAUGUGAUUAUGAAAUUACAAAAUUGCCUGUAAAACUAUCUGAAUUUCAUAAGCAAGUAUUACACUACUGGAAAAUGUUAUUUACACAUAAUUUUAUCCCGCAUGGCUCCACCUUAUGGAAUAACAGAACAAUCACAAUAAAUAGAAAAACUCUAUUUACACAAACUUGGUAUGACAAGAAAAUAAUAUUUGUAGCUGACCUGAUGGAUAAUCAAGGGUCACAGAAGUGCCACCAAAGACCAUGACUUCUGUCUUUUCUUCAUUAAUAUUCAGAAAAUUUAAAGACAUCCAAGCUUUAAGGUUGUGUAAACACUUUAGCAGUGGGUCAACAGAGUAGGAAUCAGACUUUUUGAGGGGGACAUAGAUCUGGCUGUCAUCCGCAUAGCAGUGAAAAGAAAUGCCAUGUUUCCUGAGAAUGGAACCAAGUGGGAGUAGAUGGAGAGAAAAUAAAAUAGGGCCAAGCACAGAGCCCUGUGGGACCCCACAUGAGAGAGUGCAGUGGAGGACACAGAGUCACCAAGGCUGAGAGGUGCUAAGUCUCUGAAGAACUUUCAAGCCGGUGUGAUAAUCAAGUCACUUUAAUUCAUGCAGCAUGGAGAGAAGGUCACGUAGUGAAUGUUCUCUCAAGACUUCCAAAAUGCUCUCUCUUAUAUACAUUUCAGUACAUCUCAUUACAUCACAAACAAUGAAACACCUCUGUUUGUCUUGCAAAUGUUACUCCUGUAAAUCCAGGUCUCUCUCUACCAAAUGGUCCUUUGAUCUGUGACUUCCCCCUGGCUCUUCCUAUCAUAAAAUUCACCCCUUUGACCAGGGGCAUAUCUAUUUUAUU
rnacentral:lncRNA from 15 species